GUCCAACAGGGGAAAACACUGAUAAACAGCAGAGUUGUGUGUGCUCCCAGACAACAACAUCUCCGAGAAAUAAGAUUGGAAUUUAUUGGAAUACCUAUCGUCAGAACCUUUGCUAGUUUGUCUUCCUUCCCUUAUUAAAUGUCACUCGGGAAUUAUCCAGAUAGACACGACAUAAUGCACAGUCGACCCCAUUCACAGGUGCUGUCAGGCAGGGGAAGCCCAGCUUAAUGCUCCAUGCCAUAUUGACAUUUGAUGUUCUGCUCCCAUCCUGGAUGAGCAAUCAUCCCAACACAGGGGUGGACAGCACCUCUCAUCUUGAGAGGUGUGCGUGUCCCAGGUGGUAUGGCUGCGGGGCUGUGUGCCUGAGUGGCUGACAGCUGUAUGAUCACUCGCUGCUCUUUAGGGUCAGACAAAAUAAAGCAGGGAAGAAAAACAAGAGGGGAGGAAUGGCGAGGCUGAUCGCCAUCAGGCAGCGCGAAGAGGCAGCCAGCGAGACGGAGCAAAUAAGCAUCUCAUCACGGCUUCAAAGACGAGUGGAUCAUCCACCCCAGGGGUAGAAAGAAGAUCAGCGUGCCUCCAAAAAAAUGACUGGUAUCCAAAAACUGUUGACCCGAGGCGAAUUACUUCUCAUAAUUGGCUUCUUUAUUGUGUCUGUCUUGAGCAAUCAUUGCUGAAUUAUGAUACAUCACAUAGCACGGAAAACAUAAUUAGCUAUGUUUCAUAGAACAUAUUGAGUAACAUGUAAUUUUCUUUUGAUGAACAAAACAUUGUCAAUGCGUGUGUGUACGUGUGUGUGCAUGUGUGUGUGUGCGUGUGUGUGAGGGGUGCGUCAUUCCUCUGGCAAACAAUAAUUCCGCUGGUGUUUUCUGAAGGGACAGAUUGAUCCGAUGCUAUAUUUUCUUUGGUUCCAGUUGGAAGCCCCAAAGCCAGGAACCAGGAAAUAACAUUCUUUGAAGAUAUGCUCAGGCAACGUGCACGUACGCACGCACGAAUGCACGCACGUGCACGCGCACAGAGGCACACGUUCAACAAAAGUUACAUUAUGUACAAUAAGUAGAUUUAAAGGUUCUGUCUCAACAA
rnacentral:lncRNA from 1 species